CAGUAGCCGCGGUAAUACGAAGGGGGCUAGCGUUGUUCGGAAUUACUGGGCGUAAAGCGCACGUAGGCGGACAUUUAAGUCAGGGGUGAAAUCCCGGGGCUCAACCCCGGAACUGCCUUUGAUACUGGGUGUCUAGAGUAUGGAAGAGGUGAGUGGAAUUCCGAGUGUAGAGGUGAAAUUCGUAGAUAUUCGGAGGAACACCAGUGGCGAAGGCGGCUCACUGGUCCAUUACUGACGCUGAGGUGCGAAAGCGUGGGGAGCAAACAGGAUUAGAUACCCCGGUAGUCCCUGUCUCUUAUAA
rnacentral:rRNA from 1 species